rnacentral:rRNA from 1 species
AACGAACGCUGGCGGCAUGCCUAACACAUGCAAGUCGAACGAGACCUUCGGGUCUAGGGGCGCACGGGUGCGUAACGCGGGGGAACCUGCCCUUAGGUUCGGAAUAACUGCCCGAAGGGUGUGCUAAUACCGGAUAAUGUCUUCGGACCAAAGAGUUAUCGCCUUUGGAUGGGCGCGCGUUGGAUUAGCUAGUUGGUAGGGGAAAAGCAUACCAAGGCGACGAUGCAUAGCUGGUCUGAGAGGAUGAUCAGCCACACUGGGAAUGAGACACGGCCCAGACUCCUACGGAACGCAGCAGUGGGGAAUAUUGGACAAGGGGCGAAGGCCUGAUCAAGCAAUGCGGCGUGAGUGAUGAAGGGCUUAGGGUUGUAAAGCUGUUUUAGCCGGGAUGAUAAUGACAGUACCGGGAGAAUAAGCACCGGCUAACUACGUG